rnacentral:rRNA from 1 species
CACGGCCUAUCAGCUUGUUGGUGAGGUAACGGCUCACCAAGGCGACGACGGGUAGCGGGUCUGAGAGGAUGAUCCGUCACAUUGGGACUGAGACACGGCCCAGACUCCUACGGGAGGCAGCAGUGGGGAAUAUUGGGCAAUGACCGAAAGGUUGACCCAGCGACGCCGCGUGCGGGAGGAAGCCCUUCGGGUUGUAAACCGCUUUCAGUAGGGAAGAAAAUGACGGUACCUACAGAAGAAGGUGCGGCCAACUACGUGCCAGCAGCCGCGGUGACACGUAGGCACCGAGCGUUAUCCGGAUUUAUUGGGCGUAAAGAGCUCGUAGGCGGUUCGGUAAGUCGGGUGUGAAAGCUCUGGGCUCAACCCAGAGAGGCCACCCGAUACUGCUGUGACUUGAGUGCGGUAGGGGAGCGGGGAAUUCCUGGUGUAGCGGUGAAAUGCGCAGAUAUCAGGAGGAACACCAGUGGCGAAGGCGCCGCUCUGGGCCGUAACUGACGCCGAGGAGCGAAAGCAUGGGGAGCGAACAGGAUUAGAUACCCUGGUAGUCCAUGCCGUAAACGUUGGGAACUAGAUGUGGGGACCAUUCCACGGUCUCCGUGUCGCAGCUAACGCAUUAAGUUCCCCGCCUGGGGAGUACGG